GGCGGACCCUUUAGGUGCGUGCGUUGCGUGCCAAUCACGUCAAGGCUUUAUAUGAGCAGGUGCGCGCUCCGUCUCGGGUUGGCAUUUUGUUGUUUGGACCGGUUGAUGGGAGUCUCUCCACUAGCCCUCCAGUGAGUAGAGCAUGUUAGAAACCGUGAGUAAGAUGGAAUGGAUUAUUAAGUUUACAUGAGUGUAUUUUUCUUUUAAGGAUAGUGGUGGCAGUCUGAAAUUAACCUGAUUAUGUGCGGCCAAUUUAUGGGCGUAAUGUAGAGUUUAUUCCAAAGAGUCUGCUAGCUGCUGCUUUGCUGUAAUUUAAGUGGCAUCUGGCCCUAUUCUGAACGGCAUUCCUACGCGUGCGUGUGUGGACAUCAGACGCAAGCGCUUCGGACUCCAUCCUCCUUGGCCAAUUCAUGUGCGCUGCCUCAUUCAUGCGCGCUCGCUGUAUGAUUUAUACAGGUCCUCAAACCAUCUACGAGUGUUGCCGUCGGAAACCAUGUUAGCCUAGUGUGUUUGUUAUUUGCUUUGAGUGAUGUGAGUUUGUACGAAGUGUUAUUC